GAGGAAUGUAAAAUAAAGUGUCUUGCUCAAGGACACAAUGUGUCGCUGGGGAUUGAACUCACAAUCUUACGAUUGUGAGCCAUGUACCUUAACCACUGAGCCAAGCACAGAUAUAUAUAAGGAAGGAUCGUACCAGCUUGUCUUUGCAACACCAUUUUGUUGCCAAGCUCACAAUGGAUGUUGAGAGACUUAUCUGUGUGACCACAACUGAAGAGGGCCUUCCAGAAAAGCUAUCUCUGCACAGUGUCAAAUGUUUUGGAGAGGUUAACAGAUGCCACUCAAUAGAGGCUGGCACUUUUCUUGAAGCUGUGAAGAUUAUGUCAACCACACUCCAAGUUUCCCCCCUAAAUCCACACUGCAAUUCAGACAGCACCGAUUCUGGGGGGAGUAACACACACACACACACUUCCUCCUCUGGUUUGUAAAUUUACAUGUAUAAUAAUGAUAAUAAUAUUUUCUGUCUUUGACUAAAACAUUUGUAGAGAUUCUAACAGUUCUUGUGUUUCUUGUAUGUGUACCAGGGUACAUCCACCCAGCUAACUCCUCUCCACCUCUUUCUUUCUAUAUCCACCCCAUAGUUAAACAUUUCUCCCACCCUAAUUAAACAAUUUUCUUCCCACAUCCACCCCAGUUAACCACCUCUUCCCCCACACGUCUACCCCUAUUAAACAACUUUCAGUCCCCACCCCAGAUCAUCCCCAAUUAAACACCUCUCUACUCCCCACCCUAAUUAAACAUCUACCCCUAUUAAACACCUCAUACAGCCAUAAAAAUGUAUAAACUUCUUUUAAUCAUUACACGCACAUUUUUAAAAUAUUUUCCUUUUUUUUUUUAAAUAUCAUUUCUUUGAUUAUAAAGAGAUUUGUUGCUAUUUUUUA